GAAUUUUCCGCAAUGGGCGAAAGCCUGACGGAGCAAUCUCGCGUGAGGGAUGACUGCCUAUGGGUUGUAAACCUCUUUUUUCAGGGAGGAAUCAAUGACGUGUACCUGAAGAAUAAGCAUCGGCUAACUCCGUGCCAGCAGCCGCGGUAAGACGGAGGAUGCAAGUGUUAUCCGGAAUCACUGGGCGUAAAGCGUCUGUAGGUGGUUUAAUAAGUCAACUGUUAAAUCUUGAAGCUCAACUUCAAAAUCGCAGUCGAAACUAUUAGACUAGAGUAUAGUAGGGGUAAAGGGAAUUUCCAGUGGAGCGGUGAAAUGCGUAGAGAUUGGAAAGAACACCGAUGGCGAAGGCACUUUACUGGGCUAUUACUGACACUGAGGCACGAAAGCGUGGGGAGCAAACAGG
rnacentral:rRNA from 1 species